rnacentral:rRNA from 1 species
GUUAUACAAAUAAUGCAAAUAAAUUUUAUUAGUUUAAGUAAAAUUUAAUUUNAAAAAAUAAAAGUAAUUUUAUUAGGUGAAAUUUUAAAAUUAUUUAAUUUUUAUUUUGAAUUAUUGAGGCUUAAAAAUUUUAUAUAAAAACUAGGAUUAGAUACCCUAUUAUUUAAAAUAUAUUUAUUUAUACUAAAGUAGUAUUAGUUAUGUUCUUGAAAUUUAAAAAAUUCGGCGGUAUUUUAGUCUAUUUAGAGGAAUCUGUUCUAUAAUCGAUAAUCCACGAUGGACCUUACUUAUAUUUGUAUUCAGUUUAUAUACCGUCGUUAAAAGAAUAUUUUUAAAAAAUAAUAAUUUUCAAUAUUUUUUAUUAAAAUUUAUAUCAGAUCAAGGUGUAGCUUAUGUAUAAGAAGAAAUGGAUUACAAUAAAUUUAUUUAUGGAUUUGUAAAUGAAAAUUUAUAAUAAAAUUGGAUUUAAAUGUAAAAUUAUAUAGAUUAAUAAUUUGAU